UACGGGGGGGGGCAAGCGUUGUUCGGAAUUACUGGGCGUAAAGCGCACGUAGGCGGUUACUCAGGUCAGAGGUGAAAGCCCGGAGCUUAACUCCGGAAUUGCCUUUGAAACUAGGUGACUUGAAUCCAGGAGAGGUGAGUGGAAUUCCGAGUGUAGAGGUGAAAUUCGUAGAUAUUCGGAAGAACACCAGUGGCGAAGGCGGCUCACUGGACUGGUAUUGACGCUGAGGUGCGAAAGCGUGGGGAGCAAACAGG
rnacentral:rRNA from 1 species